UCGGACGUGGUGUAAUGAAACACGGCCUCUCUUCCUAUACCCUCGAAAAAGCGAAUACUGAGGCAAUACUGGGUUCGACUCCCGGCGUCCGAA